rnacentral:sRNA from 1 species
UCCGUAGGUGAACCUGCGGAAGGAUCAUUAUUGAAUGAAUCUAGAGUUUGGUUGUCGCUGGCCCCCCCACAAUAAAGGGGGGCAUGUGCACACCUUCUCUUUUCAUCCACACACACCUGUGCACUUGUGAGACGGGAGGAUUUUCAGUCCUCCGUCUACUAAUCACACAAACUCAUUAUGACUUGAACUGAAUGUAAUUGAUGUAACACAUCAUUGGAACUAAGUUUCAACAACGGAUCUCUUGGCUCUCGCAUCGAUGAAGAACGCAGCGAAAUGCGAUAAGUAAUGUGAAUUGCAGAAUUCAGUGAAUCAUCGAAUCUUUGAACGCAUCUUGCGCUCCUUGGUAUUCCUUGGAGCAUGCCUGUUUGAGUAUCAUGAGAAAAACUCAAAGUCAAUUCCUUAAUUGGUUUUGCUUUGGACUUGGAGGUCUUUGCAGAUUUCACGUCUGCUCCUCUUAAAUGCAUUAGCUGGAUCUCAGUAUUAUGCUUGGUUCCACUCGGUGUGAUAAGUAUCACUCGCUGAGGACACUGUAAAAGGUGGCCAGGAAAAUACUGAUUUGAACCGCUUCUAACGGUCUAUUAAGUUAGACAAUUACCCUUGUGUUUGAUCUCAAAUCAGGUAGGACUACCCGCUGAACUUAAGCAUAUCAAUAAGCGGAGGAAAAGAAACUAACAAGGAUUCCCCUAGUAACGGCGAGUGAAGCGGGAAGAGCUCAAAUUUAAAAUCUGACGGUGUAUUCCGUCCGAGUUGUAGCCUAGAGAAGCAUCAUCCGCGCUGGACCAUGUACAAGUCUCUUGGAACAGAGCGUCAUAGAGGGUGAGAAUCCCGUCCUUGACAUGGACUCCCAGUGCUUUGUGUUGUGCUCUCGACGAGUCGAGUUGUUUGGGAAUGCAGCUCAAAAUGGGUGGUAAAUUCCAUCUAAAGCUAAAUAUUGGCGAGAGACCGAUAGCGAACAAGUACCGUGAGGGAAAGAUGAAAAGCACUUUGGAGAGAGAGUUAAACAGUACGUGAAAUUGUUGAAAGGGAAACGCUUGAAGU